CCUACGGGGGGCAGCAGUGGGGAAUAUUGGACAAUGGGGGCAACCCUGAUCCAGCCAUGCCGCGUGUGUGAAGAAGGCCCUCGGGUUGUAAAGCACUUUCAGUGAGGAAGAACGCCUGGUGGUUAAUACCCAUCAGGAAAGACAUCACUCACAGAAGAAGCACCGGCUAACUCCGUGCCAGCAGCCGCGGUAAUACGGAGGGUGCGAGCGUUAAUCGGAAUUACUGGGCGUAAAGCGCGCGUAGGUGGCUUGAUAAGCCGGUUGUGAAAGCCCCGGGCUCAACCUGGGAACGGCAUCCGGAACUGUCAAGCUAGAGUGCAGGAGAGGAAGGUAGAAUUCCCGGUGUAGCGGUGAAAUGCGUAGAGAUGGGGAGGAAUACCAGUGGCGAAGGCGGCCUUCUGGACUGACACUGACACUGAGGUGCGAAAGCGUGGGUAGCAAACAGGAUUAGAUACCCUUGUAGUC
rnacentral:rRNA from 1 species